rnacentral:rRNA from 1 species
CCUACGGUCGGCAGCAGUGGGGAAUAUUGGACAAUGGGGGGAACCCUGAUCCAGCCAUGCCGCGUGUGUGAAGAAGGCCCUCGGGUUGUAAAGCACUUUCAGUGAGGAAGAACGCCUGGUGGUUAAUACCCAUCAGGAAAGACAUCACUCACAGAAGAAGCACCGGCUAACUCCGUGCCAGCAGCCGCGGUAAUACGGAGGGUGCGAGCGUUAAUCGGAAUUACUGGGCGUAAAGCGCGCGUAGGUGGCUUGAUAAGCCGGUUGUGAAAGCCCCGGGCUCAACCUGGGAACGGCAUCCGGAACUGUCAAGCUAGAGUGCAGGAGAGGAAGGUAGAAUUCCCGGUGUAGCGGUGAAAUGCGUAGAGAUCGGGAGGAAUACCAGUGGCGAAGGCGGCCUUCUGGACUGACACUGACACUGAGGUGCGAAAGCGUGGGUAGCAAACAGGAUUAGAUACCCGAGUAGCC